AUACGGAGGAUCCGAGCGUUAUCCGGAUUUAUUGGGUUUAAAGGGUGCGCAGGCGGCCAUUUAAGUCAGCGGUUAAAUCGUGGGGCUCAACCCCAUUCUGCCGUUGAUACUGGGUGGCUUGAUUGCGGUCGAGGUUGGCGGAAUUCGUUGUGUAGCGGUGAAAUGCAUAGAUAUGACGAAGAACACCGAUUGCGUAGGCAGCUGACCAGACCGCAAAUGACGCUCAUGCACGAAAGUGCGGGGAUCGAACAGGAUUAGAUAUCGAUAUAGUCAGCACAAUAAACGAUGAAUACUUGUUUUCGGCGAUAUAAUGUCGGAGGCAAAGCGAAAGCGAUAAGUAUUCCACCUUGGGAGUACGCCGGCAACGGUGAAACUCAAAUGAAUUGACGGGG
rnacentral:rRNA from 1 species